GUGCUGGAGAGGUGAUGAGAUCUUCAUGUCUCUUCUCUGACUAAACAUCAAUGGAGAGAAACUUUCACAACUCUGAUCUCGGCAU
ensembl:snoRNA